AAUUGAAGAGUUUGAUCAUGGCUCAGAUUGAACGCUGGCGGCAGGCCUAACACAUGCAAGUCGAGCGGCAGCGGGAAAGUAGCUUGCUACUUUUGCCGGCGAGCGGCGGACGGGUGAGUAAUGCCUGGGGAUCUGCCCAGUCGAGGGGGAUAACUACUGGAAACGGUAGCUAAUACCGCAUACGCCCUACGGGGGAAAGCAGGGGACCUUCGGGCCUUGCGCGAUUGGAUGAACCCAGGUGGGAUUAGCUAGUUGGU
rnacentral:rRNA from 1 species